CAGCUUGUUGGUGAGGUAAUGGCUCACCAAGGCGACGACGGGUAGCCGGCCUGAGAGGGUGACCGGCCACACUGGGACUGAGACACGGCCCAGACUCCUACGGGAGGCAGCAGUGGGGAAUAUUGCACAAUGGGCGGAAGCCUGAUGCAGCGACGCCGCGUGAGGGAUGACGGCCUUCGGGUUGUAAACCUCUUUCAGUAGGGAAGAAGCGAAAGUGACGGUACCUGCAGAAGAAGCGCCGGCUAACUACGUGCCAGCAGCCGCGGUAAUACGUAGGGCGCAAGCGUUAUCCGGAUUUAUUGGGCGUAAAGAGCUCGUAGGCGGUUUGUCGCGUCUGCCGUGAAAGUCCGAGGCUCAACCUCGGAUCUGCGGUGGGUACGGGCAGACUAGAGUGAUGUAGGGGAGACUGGAAUUCCUGGUGUAGCGGUGAAAUGCGCAGAUAUCAGGAGGAACACCGAUGGCGAAGGCAGGUCUCUGGGCAUUUACUGACGCUGAGGAGCGAAAGCAUGGGGAGCGAACAGGAUUAGAUACCCUGGUAGUCCAUGCCGU
rnacentral:rRNA from 1 species